UACGUAGGGUGCGAGCGUUAAUCGGAAUUACUGGGCGUAAAGCGUGCGUAGGUGGUUCGUUGUGUCUGUGGUGAAAGCCCCGGGCUUAACCUGGGAAUGGUCAUGGAAACUGGCGAGCUGGAGUCUGGCAGAGGGGGGUGGAAUUCCGCGUGUAGCAGUGAAAUGCGUAGAGAUCCGGAGGAACACCGACGGCGUAGGCAGCGCCCUGGACGACACCUGACGCUGAGGCACGAAAGCUGGGGGAGCGAACAGG
rnacentral:rRNA from 1 species